CCAUUCGUGAAAUUGUCCGACGUAGAGAGAAAACCACCGGACAUUCUGUCCGACCAAAGUGAAACUGAGGUUUAUUGUUUGUCCGACCUGAGUGUAUUGGUGUCCGACCAAACUGUAGCUUUGUCCGGCGUAAAUCAAAAUGUACCCUAUCCCAGGACUAGAGGCUUGUAACGUUAAAUGGAAAACCAGAGUACUAUUGUAUAAAAGGUGAACUGGAAAUUUGUUUUAACGUAGUCGAGCGCGGGGCGGGGAGUGAAAUGCAUGGUGAAGUGGAAAACGGGCUUAAUUCUAAGUCUUUUACUGCUGUUCUGGAAAGCAAAUUAAAUUUGGCUUGGAAAUAAAUAUGAAAAAAACAAAUUAUUUAAUAUCUUCACAA